rnacentral:lncRNA from 1 species
CUCUUUUGUCCCCUUCCUGUUUUGUUUGUUGGUUCGUUUCCCUCCAGCAGGUCAAAAAUGUUAACGCUGUGGCUAAAUUAGAGCCACAGUUUCAGCGUGGAUUCCCGUAGGAAGGAGGGAGUUUGUAUUGAGGCUACAUUCAUUCAUUCAACAGGAUAUUUGGGGUUCUGCACUGCCGACAUGGGAAGGUACACGCUUCGGGAUCUUGAAGAGAUUGCGGUCUAGAGGCGAAUCUGGCACGUGUACAGAGACGACUCACUCCGCCAGGCACUACAGAGGAAGCAACGCCCAGGGCAGCCGACAACGCGGCGCAAAAACGGAGGAAAGGACGUCCCAGCUAAAAAGUCUUGAAAGUUCCAAGAAGAAAAAAGACUGUCCAUGCAAAGACUCAUACGCAAAUGUUCAUAACCACAUUACUUAUAAAGGUUCAAAACUGGAAGUAACCCAAAUUUCUAUGAGCAGGUGAAUAGUUACACAAAUGAUGGUAUAUCCAUACAGUGAAACACUCAAAAAUAAAGAGGAAUGAUCUACAUGCAAUUAAUGAAUGAAUCUCAAGAUAAUUAUGUUGAGUGAAAGAAGCCAAACAAAAAAGAGAACAUAAGAUUUUGUUUCCAUAAAUUCCUAUAAAAAUGCAAACUAAUCUAUAGUGACAGAAAGUAGAUCAGUAGUUGCCUGAAAAUGGGGAGAGGGUGAGGGGUUACACAGGGGCAAUGGAUACUUUUGAGGUUGAAGGAUAUGAUUGUGAUGAUGGUUUUACAGGUGUGUGUGUGUGUA